rnacentral:rRNA from 1 species
AUCAUGGAGAGUUUUCAUGACUACAAGAUGGUGAAUAACCGUUCUGUGGUUGAACAAGCUCAUGAGAUACGGUGCAUUGUGAAGGAACUUGAACUCCUUAAAUGUGUUCUACCCAACAAAUUCGUGGCUGGGUGCAUGAUUGCAAAGUUGCCUCCUUCAUGGAGGAAUUUCGCCACAACUCUGAAGCAUAAGAGACAGGAGAUAUCAGUUGAAAAUCUGAUUGCAUCUCUUGAUGUUGAAGAAAAAGCUCGGGCUAAAGAUACCACUGAAAAAGGAGUAUUUCAAUCAUCUUCGUGGUGGAUUGAUUCGGGUGCUAACGUUCAUGUGUGUGCUGACAUCUCCCUGUUUACUUCUUAUCAGGUCGCAAGGGAUUCUUCCGUCCUAAUGGGGAAUGGGUCACAUGCUUCUGUUCGUGGCAUUGGCACGGUGGAUCUGAAGUUUACUUCGGGAAAGAUCGUGCAACUAAGGAACGUGCAGCAUGUCCCUACUAUGAACAAGAAUCUAGUUAGCGGCUCCCUUCUAUGUCGAGAUGGAUUUAAGGUAGUUUUAGAGUCCAAUAAAGUAAUCGUGUCAAGAUUUGGACAAUUUAUAGGAAAAGGCUAUGAGUGCGGAGGCUUGUUCCGCUUUUCUCUUUCAGAUUUUUGCAAUAAGUCAAUAAACCAAAUUUGUGCUAAUGUUAAUGAUGAUGCAAGUAUUUGGCACUCUCGUUUAUGUCAUAUUAAUUUUGGUUUAAUGUCUCGGCUAUCCAGCAUGAGUUUAAUUCCGAACUUCACAGUUGCCAAAGGUUCUAAGUGCCAUAGUUGUGUGCAAUCUAAGCAACCUCGAAAGCCUCGUAAGGCUGCCGAGGAGAGAAACUUGGCACCUCUAGAACUCAUACAUUCUGAUCUUUGUGAGAUGAAUGGUGUGUUGACAAAAGGUGGAAAGAGAUAUUUCAUGACUUUGAUUGAUGAUGCGACUAGAUUUUGCUAUGUUUAUUUGUUGCAAACUAAAGAUGAAGCAUUAGACUACUUUAAAAUCUAUAAAGCUGAAGUUGAAAAUCAACUAGAGAGAAAGAUCAAGCGUCUUAGGUCCGAUCGUGGUGGAGAGUAUUUUCCAAAAGUUUUUGAUGAAUUUUGUGAGGAACAUGGUAUUAUUCAUGAGAGGACGCCUCCCUAUUCACCUCAAUCAAAUGGAGUGGCCGAGAGGAAAAACCGCACAUUGACUGACUUGGUGAAUGCCAUGUUAGACACUGCUGGUUUAUCUAAGGCAUGGUGGGGGGAGGCUCUAUUGACUUCAUGUCAUGUCCUGAAUAGAGUUCCCAACAAUAAUAAAGAAAAAACCCCUUAUGAGGAGUGGGUUGGGAGAAAACCAUCACUUUCUUAUUUGCGCACUUGGGGAUGUUUGGCAAAGGUCAAUAUUCCUAUUCCUAAGAAACGCAAACUUGGACCAAAGACAGUGGAUUGUGUCUUUCUAGGGUAUGCUCAACGGAGCAUUGCUUAUAGGUUUUUAGUGGUAAAAUCUGAAGUACCUGAUAUGCAUGUUGAUACUAUAAUGGAAUCUCGUGAUGCAACAUUUUUUGAGAACAUAUUUCCUAUGAAAGAUAUGCAUAGCAUUGCUAGAUUUUCUUCUGAGAUAAUUCCUGAAUCUAGUACAACUGAUGAAUAUUUCGAACAAUCACAUGAGGAAGUCCUUGAGAAGGAUAACAAUGAAGUUCCUAGAAGGAACAAGAGACAAAGGAUUGCAAAAUCCUUUGGUGAUGAUUUCAUUGUAUACCUUGUGGACGACACACCCAAGACGAUUGCAGAAGCAUAUGCAUCUCCGGAUGUAGAUGAUUGGAAAGAAGCUGUUCAUAAUGAGAUGGACUCAAUUCUUUCUAAUGGAACUUGGGAACUAACUGAUAGACCAUAUGGUUGUAAACCUGUGGGCUGUAAGUGGGUGUUCAAAAAGAAGCUAAAGCCUGAUGGUACUAUUGAUAAGUACAAGGCGCGGCUAGUGGCCAAGGGCUACACUCAGAAAGAAGGCGAAGAUUACUUUGACACC